UACGAAGGGGGCUAGCGUUGCUCGGAAUCACUGGGCGUAAAGCGCACGUAGGCGGCUUUCUAAGUCAGGGGUGAAAUCCUGGAGCUCAACUCCAGAACUGCCUUUGAUACUGAGGAUCUUGAGUACGGGAGAGGUGAGUGGAACUGCGAGUGUAGAGGUGAAAUUCGUAGAUAUUCGCAAGAACACCAGUGGCGAAGGCGGCUCACUGGCCCGUUACUGACGCUGAGGCACGAAAGCGUGGGGAGCAAACAGG
rnacentral:rRNA from 1 species